AAUAUGAUUUUAUUUCUGUAGAAUAAACAAGAAGUAAUAAUGAAACGAAAUAAAGAUUAAAUUUAUUUUUGUUUAUGAGAAUGAGAUUGUGUGUAUGUAUGUGAGUAUGGUGUGAUCGGAUGAUGUUGAUGCAUGGUGUAACCGAAAUAUUUUUCUGGGAAUAAAUGACGAAUGCUGGAAGUGAGAUUAAGACGAAGGAAUAAAGAAUUAAUAUUAUGUCGAUAUAUAAUUUUGUGUGUUAGUCUAAUUGGGACUCUUGUCUGGUACACAUAAGCAUUGACACGAUCUCCCUAUACGUAGCUUUUGAUUAAAGAAAAUAAUUAAUUAA